UACGUAGGGGGCAAGCGUUGUCCGGAUUUAUUGGGCGUAAAGAGCGUGUAGGCGGCCAGACAGGUCCGUUGUGAAAACUCGAGGCUCAACCUCGAGAUGUCGAUGGAAACCGUCUGGCUAGAGUCCGGAAGAGGAGUGUGGAAUUCCUGGGUGUAGCGGUGAAAUGCGCAGAUAUCAGGAAGAACACCUAUGGCGAAGGCAGCACUCUGGGACGGUACUGACGCUGAGACGCGAAAGCGUGGGAGCGA
rnacentral:rRNA from 1 species